UGGUCAAGUUAUUAAGGGUGCAGGGCGGAUGCCUUGGCACUAGGAGCCGAUGAAGGACGUGAUAAGCUGCGAUAAGCUUCGGGGAGUUGCACGUAAACUUUGAUCCGAAGAUUUCCGAAUGAGGAAACUCACUUAGAGUAAUGUCUAAGUAUCAUUAAGUGAAUACAUAGCUUAAUGAGGGGAACUCAGGGAACUGAAACAUCUAAGUACCUGAAGGAAGAGAAAGAAAUUCGAUUCCGUAAGUAGCGGCGAGCGAACGCGGAUUAGCCCAAACCAAUAAAGUUUUCUUUAUUGGGGUUGCGGACAUAUCAUAACGAAGAGGUAUCGUAAUUGAAGAGGUUUGGAAAGACCCACCACAGAAGGUAAUAGUCCUGUAUGUUAAACGAGAAGACUUCAGAUAUGAUCCAGAGUACCACGGGACACGUGAAACCCUGUGGGAAGCAGGAGGGACCACCCUCCAAGGCUAAAUACUACCUAGUGACCGAUAGCGUAUAGUACCGUGAGGGAAAGGUGAAAAGAACCCCGGGAGGGGAGUGAAAUAGAACCUGAAACCCUGCACUUACAAGCUGUGGAAGCACAUUUCUUGUGUGACCGCGUACUUUUUGUAGAACGGGCCAACGAGUUACGUUAAGUAGCAAGGUUAAGCACUUAAGGUGCGGAGCCGUAGCGAAAGCGAGUUUUAACUGAGCGUUCAGUUACUUGACGUAGACCCGAAACCGGGCGACCUACCCAUGAGCAGGAUGAAGCGAAAGUAAAAUUUCGUGGAGGUCCGAACCCACGAGCGUUGAAAAGCUCGGGGAUGACUUGUGGGUAGCGGUGAAAUUCCAAUCGAGCCCGGAGAUAGCUGGUUCUCCCCGAAAUAGCUUUAGGGCUAGCCUCAAGGUGAGAGAUACGGAGGUAGAGCACUGAAUGUCCUAGGGGGU
rnacentral:rRNA from 1 species